CCAAGAUGAGCCUUUCUCUGAAGUUC
rnacentral:piRNA from 1 species